ACAAAGGCUCUUCUAGGAGCCACAAAAUAAUAAUAAAGUCAACA
rfam:Nematostella vectensis strain CH2 x CH6 NEMVEscaffold_1435_Cont36311, whole genome shotgun sequence.